rnacentral:lncRNA from 13 species
GAAAUGGAGUGGGAGGGUAGGGCCUGGAGGGAGGAGAGGGACCUGGAGGGCACAGGAGGGGUGGGGUCAGCUAGGCUGGUGAGGUCAAGGCUGUGGACACACCCUCCUCUUAUUGCUCCCUCCACCCUUAGAAACCCUUUGUGACUUCCAUGCUCUAUGAUGCAGGCCUGGGCUUAUAGGUAAGCCUGGGCAAACUCAGGGCUCACUUGCUUCAGGCAGCCAUGCUAUUCACCUCAUGGGGAAUAUCCUCUUUUUUCUGAACAGCUGUACUGAGUCAGGGCUCAGCUCUGGCUUGGCACAUUGCUUGGAUAUUGACCCCGACUUCAUCUGCUUGACUGGGCUGGGGUUGUUUAUGCUGUACUUGUUCUACGUGCUAUUGACUCUCUAUUUGUCACCCCCCGGGAAAAAUAAUGACAUCCCAAUGCUUCAGGGCAGAGCCAGGAGGAGAGAGAAACGUGGGACAUCUAAAGAUAAGACCAGAUAACCUUCCAGAAAGCAGCAGAAGAGGAAAGGAAGCUGGUUUCUUUUCUGAAAAGGUGAUUAAUUGUUUCCUUCUGUCCUGUUCCCACCCCAGUCCUUUUUUUAGCAAGUUCUAUUCACCUCAGCGAUUUCUUGUAGCCUCCUGUAGUUGUGGGAGUGGGUAGCCAUAGGAACGUGUAUGUGAAUGAAUGUGUUGAGAGGCCCUAGAGUGCAUGAUGAGGUCAUAGGUGGGGGGCAAUGUGAAGCAGGUAGCAGGCACCAGGGUUCCCACCCCUGCCAGGCUAACAGACCCUCCUUUCCUUGUUCUAGUCCUGGCUGCAGCAUCGGGCCUCCUGCUUUCUGCAGUCCCCGUGAUACUGCCUGCUUUCGUCAACUGUUAUGCCCAGAUCCCCUCUGUGAGGUGUGUAACAGAACAGCUGCUGAGAUCCACCAUGUUGAUGGCAACAUAGAAGAUCUUCCCUUAGUGUAUACGGUGCACUUAUCAGGAUGGAGGUGUCACCUAUGAUCUUCAUGGACUUAGUGGAAUAUAAUCGAUAUUGUCUAGAACACCCGCAGCUCAUGAUCCGGAGGUGAGACCUGGACUAUGCAUGAGUAUUACAGAUAUUUGGGGGCUCACUAUGGAGCAUUACAGAAUGCUCCUUAUGGCCAAGAGUGUGCACAUUACCCACCUUAAAAUGUUAGGGGUCUGAAGAGAAGGCAACUCCACUUACGUAGACUGGAACUAACAAAUGAGGUGAGUUUUCUUUUUUUUUUCUUGAGACGAAGUUUUGCUCUUGUUGCAUACACUGGGGUGCAAUGGCACGAUCUCAGCUAACAACCCCAGCCUUCUGGGUUCAAGCAAUUUUCCUGACUCAAUCUCCCAAGUAGCUGAGAUUACAGGUGCCCGCCAGCACAUCCGGCUAAUUUUUGUAUAUUUAGUAAAGACAGGUUUUCACCACGUUGACCAGACUGGUCUUGAACUGUUGACUUCAGGUGAUCCACCUGCCUUGGCCUCCCAAAGUGCUGGGAUUACAGGUGUGAGCCACCGUGCCUGACCAUGAGGUUUGUUUUCUAGAGGGCACUUGAGACAGGUUUUCCAGAAAAAUUUGUGAAUGCUUGGUGUCGAAACAAAACAAAACAACAGAUGCCCACUACAGCUCCCUCACACAACCAUCCUUCUGUUUUCCUGUUCAUGCUUAUGCCACUGACUGGCAGGGUCUGAAACUUAGGAUUGCAGAAAUAGUUCAGGUUCCCUGAAGGCCUUAAGAAGGACAAAAUUGGGAUGAAGCCCAGGGUAAAGAACUUGUGGAGGUAGAGAAUCAAUGGAGGACCCAAACAUCCAUGUAGAGAGACUUGCCAAUAACCUGGCCUCUUAAUUCCUCUGUCAUUCCGUCUUAGGGUUCUUGAACUCCAUUCCAGUUCAGUUACUGCCAAACCCAGAAGCUAUCAUCAGAAACAUCUAAGUUAUUAUCAGAAACACAUCUUUUUUUGGAGGCGAAGUUUUGCUUAUUCACCCUGGCUGGUGU